rnacentral:tRNA from 1 species
ACGGAUAGGGCAUCGGUCUCCUAACCCGGGGUUGCGGGUUCGAAUCCCGCCGAGGGUA